rnacentral:rRNA from 1 species
UGAUACUAAGCCAUGCGAGUCAUUGUAGCAAUACAAGGCAUACGGCUCAGUAACGCGUAGUCAACCUAACCUAUGGACGGGAAUAACCUCGGGAAACUGAGAAUAAUGCCCGAUAGAACAUUAUGCCUGGAAUGGUUUAUGUUCCAAAUGAUUUAUCGCCGUAGGAUGGGACUGCGGCCUAUCAGUUUGUUGGUGAGGUAAUGGCCCACCAAGACUAUUACAGGUACGGGCUCUGAGAGGAGUAGCCCGGAGAUGGGUACUGAGACACGGACCCAGGCCCUAUGGGGCGCAGCAGGCGAGAAAACUUUGCAAUGUGCGAAAGCACGACAAGGUUAAUCCGAGUGGUUUCUGCUAAAGGAACUUUUUGUCAGUCCUAGAAACACUGAUGAAUAAGGGGUGGGCAAGUUCUGGUGUCAGCCGCCGCGGUAAAACCAGCACCUCAAGUGGUCAGGAUGAUUAUUGGGCCUAAAGCAUCCGUAGCCGGCUCUGUAAGUUUUCGGUUAAAUCUGUACGCUCAACGUACAGGCUGCCGGGAAUACUGCAAAGCUAGGGAGUGGGAGAGGUAGACGGUACUCGGUAGGAAGGGGUAAAAUCCUUUGAUCUAUUGAUGACCACCUGUGGCGAAGGCGGUCUACCAGAACACGUCCGACGGUGAGGGAUGAAAGCUGGGGGAGCAAACCGGAUUAGAUACCCGGGUAGUCCCAGCUGUAAACCAUGCAAACUCAGUGAUGCAUUGGCUUGUGGCCAAUGCAGUGCUGCAGGGAAGCCGUUAAGUUUGCCGCCUGGGAAGUACGUACGCAAGUAUGAAACUUAAAGGAAUUGGCGGGGGAGCACCACAAGGGGUGAAGCCUGCGGUUCAAUUGG